ACGGAGGGGGUUAGCGUUGUUCGGAAUGACUGGGCGUAAAGCGCGCGUAGGCGGACCAUCAAGUCGGGGGUGAAAUCCCCAGGCUUAACCUGGGAACUGCAUUCGAGACUGCAUUGCUAGAGUAUGGGAGAGGGAAGUGGAAUUUCCGGUGUAGCGGUGAAAUGCGUAGAUAUCGGAAGGAACAUCAGUGGCGAAAGCGACUUCCUGGACCAAUACUGACGCUCAUGUGCGAAAGCGUGGGGAGCAAACAGGA
rnacentral:rRNA from 1 species